rnacentral:rRNA from 1 species
ACGCUCGACACCUACGGGAGGCGGCAGUGGGGAAUAUUGCACAAUGGGGGAAACCCUGAUGCAGCGACGCCGCGUGGAGGAAGAAGGUCUUCGGAUUGUAAACUCCUGUUGUUGGGGAAAAAGAGGAUGGUACCCAACAAGGAAGUGACGGCUAACUACGUGCCAGCAGCCGUGGUAAUCUGAGCGGGCUGGCAAGGC